rnacentral:rRNA from 1 species
UACGAAGGGGGCUAGCGUUGCUCGGAAUUACUGGGCGUAAAGGGUGCGUAGGCGGGUCUUUUAAGUCAGGGGUGAAAUCCUGGAGCUCAACUCCAGAACUGCCUUUGAUACUGAGGAUCUUGAGUUCGGGAGAGGUGAGUGGAACUGCGAGUGUAGAGGUGAAAUUCGUAGAUAUUCGCAAGAACACCAGUGGCGAAGGCGGCUCACUGGCCCGAUACUGACGCUGAGGCACGAAAGCGUGGGGAGCAAACAGG